rnacentral:rRNA from 1 species
UACAUGUGGGGCAAGCGUUGUUCGGAAUUACUGGGCAUAAAGGGUGCGUAGGUGGUUUGUUAAGUCAGGGGUGAAAUCCUGGAGCUCAACUCCAGAACUGCCUUUGAUACUGAAGAUCUUGAGUCCGGGAGAGGUGAGUGGAACUGCGAGUGUAGAGGUGAAAUUCGUAGAUAUUCGCAAGAACACCAGUGGCGAAGGCGGCUCACUGGCCCGGUACUGACGCUGAGGCACGAAAGCGUGGGGAGCAAACAGG